GCAGAAGACAGGUGGUGCAUGGUUGUCGUCAGCUCGUGUCGUGAGAUGUUGGGUUAAGUCCCCGCAACGAGGGCGCAACCCCNUUAUCAUUAGUUGCUACCCAUUAAGUUGAGCACUCUUAGUGAGACUGCCCACGGUUUACGUGGAGAAGGUGGGGAUGACGUCCAAAUCAUCAUGCCCCUUAUGUCUAGGGCUACACACGUGCUACAAUGGUGAAUACAAAUAGAUGCAAUACCGCGAGGUGGAGCCAAACUAUAAAAUUCAUCCCAGUUCGGAUUGUAGUCUGAAACUCGACUACAUGAAGCCGGAGUUGCUAGUAAUCGCGAAUCAGCAUGUCGCGGUGAAUACGUUCCCGGGCCUUGUACACACCGCCCGUCACACCAUGAGAG
rnacentral:rRNA from 1 species